UUGGAGAGUUUGAUCCUGGCUCAGGACGAACGCUGGCGGCGUGCUUAACACAUGCAAGUCGAACGAUGAAGAGGAGCUUGCUCCUUGGAUUAGUGGCGAACGGGUGAGUAACACGUGAGUAACCUGCCCUGGACUCUGGGAUAACCCCGAGAAAUCGGAGCUAAUACCG
rnacentral:rRNA from 1 species